AAGUCGUAACAAGGUUUCCGUAGGUGAACCUGCGGAAGGAUCAUUAUUGAAUAAACUUGGUUGGGUUGUUGCUGGCUUUUCGGAGCAUGUGCACGCCUAGCGCCAUUUUUACCACCUGUGCACUUCUUGUAGAUUUGAAACACUUCUCGAGGAAACUCGGUCUGAGGAACUGCUAUGCGAAAGCUAGGCUUUCCUUGCGUUUCAGGUCUAUGUUUUUAAAUACCCCAUCAGAAUGUUUUAGAAUGUCAUUAAUAGGCUUCAUUGCCUCUAAAUUAAUACAACUUUCAACAACGGAUCUCUUGGCUCUC
rnacentral:misc_RNA from 1 species